AUUGGCCUGGUCUUCACCGAUGGGCGGUCUAAUGAUAAUGUCACAGAAUGGGCCAGAAAAGCAAAGGAAUCAGGGAUUGUCAUGUAUGCAGUUGGCAUUGGCAAAGCUGAGGAAAAGGAACUGCGGACCAUUGCCUCCGAGCCCGUGGAUGAGCACUUUCUAUACGCGGCCGAUUUCAAAGCCACAGAAAAAAUUGCCCUGAAGCUCAAAUCCAAGAUCUGUGAUGGAAUCAAAUCAACCCCAAUGCCCUGCCCCGAGAACAGCCACUAUGAGAUUUGUGGAAAUGGUUGCCCGGC